rnacentral:rRNA from 1 species
UACGUAGGGUGCGAGCGUUAAUCGGAAUUACUGGGCGUAAAGCGUGCGCAGGCGGUUCGUCGUGUCCGAUGUGAAAGCCCCGGGCUCAACCUGGGAAUGGCAUUGGAAACUGGCGGGCUUGAGUGUGGCAGAGGGGGGUGGAAUUCCGCGUGUAGCAGUGAAAUGCGUAGAGAUGCGGAGGAACACCAGUGGCGAAGGCGACUUCCUGGCCUGUUCUUGACGCUGAGGCGCGAAAGCUAGGGGAGCAAACGGG